GAUGAAGAACGCAGCGAAAUGCGAUAAGUAGUGUGAAUUGCAGAAUUCAGUGAAUCAUCGAAUCUUUGAACGCACAUUGCGCCCCUUGGUAUUCCAUGGGGCAUGCCUGUUCGAGCGUCAUUUGUACCUUCAAGCUUUGCUUGGUGUUGGGUGUUUGUCCAUUCUCUUGCAGAGGGACUCGCCUUAAAGUAAUUGGCAGCCAGUGUUUUGGUUUUGAAGCGCAGCACAAGUCGCGAUUCAACGCUAUACGCCAGCUUCCACAAACCUUUUUCACUUUUGACCUCGGAUCAGGUAGGGAUACCCGCUGAACUUAAGCAUAUCAAUAAGCGGAGGA
rnacentral:misc_RNA from 1 species